UACCCGCACCCCGAGUGGUCGGGACGUUUAUUGGGCCUAAAGCAUCCGUAGCCGGUUCUACAAGUCUUCCGUUAAAUCCACCUGCUUAACAGAUGGGCUGCGGAAGAUACUAUAGAGCUAGGAGGCGGGAGAGGCAAGCGGUACUCGAUGGGUAGGGGUAAAAUCCGUUGAUCCAUUGAAGACCACCAGUGGCGAAGGCGGCUUGCCAGAACGCGCUCGACGGUGAGGGAUGAAAGCUGGGGGAGCAAACCGG
rnacentral:rRNA from 1 species